AAACAAUGGCAGUGUCUGUGAAACCUAAGCACGAGGUCAGCGUCAAUAUGAAAUGUGGCCAGAACAUGAUCAAUAAGGUGUUCAGGUUUGAUCAG
rnacentral:ribozyme from 1 species